rnacentral:lncRNA from 1 species
GAUAAUGUUGAUGUUAAUAAGUGCACCAUGCUAACUUGACGAAUAUUUUGUGAAAGUCAGGUAGGCUAGUUAAGAAAAUUCUGACCACCUUCUGCCUUAUGUUACUGUUUUGGUUUGAAUUUUUUGGCCAAAUAUGUUGUGCAAAACGGUAAACUUCUCUGGUGAUUUAUUUUCCGGUCCUUGUGCAAUAAACUGUCAACCUUUACCAUGUGAAGACAAUUCAUAACCUUUGAAAUAUUAACGAGCUCUUCAUUUUCUGCAUCAACAUUCUGCACUUUUUACUUUUAUCUGGUUGUCUCAGUUUGUCUUGGUUUCCUUCCAGUUGUUUACUUACACAAAACACUGCAUCUUUGUAAUGCUUGAAGGAAAAUUCGUCAAUGGAACGGUUUUGGUGGUUGAUGGAGGACAAUGGCUGAGCACGCCCCGUUUGCUGUCCAAAGAUGCUGUGAAACAACUGUCUAGAAGAGAGGAGAUAAGGUCAAGGGCUGUGCCAACUGGUUUACCAAAGAGCAAGUUGUGAUAAAUCUAUGUGAUGUUUUGGUGGCCGAAGCCAUAGAUUCUAUUCUGGUUGGCUAGCUUAAAGUCACUAUGAACAUUUGUUGAAACUUUAGUAAGCAUCUACUUUAAGAAUCUGCUUUUAUCCCCAUCACGAUAAACAUCUCUAUAUUUUUUCAUAUUCUUUUGCUUUCGAUGAACCAAAUGCUUCGACGAUGGCUUGUGCCCCCAUCUAGGAAUCUAAACGUUAUUGACCGGAUAAUUUUUCGAGUCUAAAUUGCAUAAUUUAAGAUUAAUUAAUUUUAAAUUAUUAUAUAUAUUUUAACAAUCAUGUUCACAUUUAACGUAAAAUAAAAUAUUAAAUUUAAUGUAAAAUAAAAUUUAUUCCCUUCGAAAUGGAUACUCAUAUGUUUUCAUGUAAUUGCUUAGCACUUUCAAGAAUCAACAAGCUUCUGAACAUCUUGACAAUUUCAAUCGUGCAUAACAAGGUAAGUUGAUGAUAAUUUCAAUCUUGCAUUGCACAACAAGCUAGAAUAUAAAAUUGCUUUUGUUAUAGAAUUUAAGAAAUAAAAUUUUCAAUAAUUUUUUUUUCAAACCAAAUUCAUUGUAUUAAUUAAACAGUUCAAAGAAUUACCAUAGUUCAAGUAAUUGAACUAAUAAAAAAAAAAAUUCACUUGAAAGUAUCUAAUGACGAGCCAUUCAGUGAACAUUUACAUUAAAAAUUAUUAAAAAUAUUUAUAGAUAGAAUCAAAUUUAAACUUUUAAAAUUUAGAACGAUUUGGAUCUAUUUAAUUUUUAAAUAUAUUAUAAAAUUAAAAUCAAGUAAAUUUAAUUAUUUAAUGUAUCACAAACCAAUCAAAAACAUAUAUUCAAAUCGUGAACAAAUCGAACCUAGACUUGAUUAUUUUGGUAUAUUUCUUUGCUAGAAUGAUAAUAAUGUCUAAAGUUAUGCUACGCCUUUUGGAGGUCCAUUGCAAGUGAACUAAUAAUGCAGCCAUGGACGGUGCUGGUUACACCUUGCAAAGGACGCUGACCCAUCCCUGAUCCGACCCAACACUUUGUCACUGAGCAUGCAAAGACAUUAUGAUCUCGAUCAUAAAGAGCUCUUGCGUUUCAAUUUUCAAUUACUGUAUAUAGUAAUUGAUAUUGAUUUCUCAACAAUUAAAUAAAUAAGCUCAACUUUGAUUUUUGUAAUCUUCUUACUUUUUUAAAUAUAUAAAUAUAUUUUCUGGUUUUAAACAUAAACUUUAUCUUUUUUUUCCUCAUUUUAAUUGUUUUUAUUAGUUAAAUUAAUUUAAUUUUAAAAUUUUAAAAAAUGUUAUAUAAAAUUAAAAUGCUAAAUAUUUUAUAAUUUUCGUAAAAUUUAUUAAAGUUAAGUUUGUCUGAAAAAAAAAUUAAUAAAAAACGAAUAUAACAAAACAUUGAGAAUAUAAAAAAAUAAAAAUAAAUACGUUUUAAGUAUUUAUUUAAAAAAUAAAAAAUAAAUUAAUAGUUGAGACUUCAGAGUAUCGCACGGUGUUCUUCCAAAUCGUGCGAUUGUGAAAGCCUUUUUUGAAAGGUUCUGUGCGAUUUUUAUUUAAUGACUUGAAGAUGUAAGUAAAGUCAUUAUGACUUGUAUUUAUGAAUGCUUUUAUUGAGGCUAUAAAAAUAGGUUAAAACUUGUACAAGAUAUAUAUUUAGAGCAACUUCCAUGGUUGUUCUUUAACAAUCAUCUUAUAUAGAUCGGGGCAGAAAGCGUUAUGGAGAUGGCUCCUUUCUCCAUGCGAGGUCGUCUUCACAAGAAUCACAAGAUGCCAAUCACCAAGAAACGCUUGAAAUUGCAACCAAAAAGGGUAAUAGAUAUGAUCUUCCAUCUUCUUGCAAUCUUUUUCUGUCCUUGUAAAGAAAAUUUGUGCUUGAUCGAAUCCUCUCUAAUUCCCAUCGAUAGUUCUGAUGCAAUCGACAUGCACCAUUAAUGACACUUGUCCAUCAUUUCAGAGUAUUUGUUAGUAAAGUGUUGCUCAUAUUGGUUUACUUGAACAUUAAUUAAUUAAUUUUUGAUUGGAUUUGGACAGAGAAAGAAUGGGAUGAAGGGCAUGCAGGAAAGGUUUGAGAGGUUGAAAAUAGAGAUGGAGGAGAUCAGCGAGGAACAGAGGGGUAUUCGAGAAGGGCAGAGACAAGUUCGUGAAAAAUUUGAAGCAAUUGAAUCUGAGUGCGAGCAGUUGAAGAAAGAAACUAAAUUCAUAAUCCAACAAAGUGCUAGAACUCAGAUCAAAGUAGUUCUCAUGUUCAAAAUAUUGAAGGCAAGGGACGAGAGUGACUUUUCCACCGCUGCUAACCUUACUCAGUUGCUUGGGUACCUUUCUUUUUUCUUCCCUUUGCAUGAGCAAGCCUCUACAAGAAUUCCCUCCCAAUUUGAAUGGCAAAGAUAAAAAGGAGGAAAAAAUGAUUAAUUCAGGAAAAAAAUAAAAAAAAAGGACAAUCACAAAAGGAAGAAAGGAUAACUAAUGGAGUGAUGGAGGAAACAAGGUAUCAUGUGAUAUGUUUUAUGUUUGUUGGAAAAAAGUAAUAAAGCUGAUAAAUAGUUAGUCCUUGAAUCAAAGAAUCUUAUAUAUAUAUUUGGUAUGCAUUGCUAUAGUUUUAUGUUAAUGAUCAAAUGUUUUCUGCCAUUAACGCUCCUUUAGUAAAUUAUUUAUUCAAAUAUAUGUUUAGUAUAUAUUGCUUUCGAUGUACCUAAAAGAAAAAGAAAAGAGGAAGAAAUUUUUCUUAUGCCAAUCAAUUGAAGUUACUCAAUUCUAGUUGUUGUCCAAUGAUCAUCCUUGAAUUUCAAUUUUCAUGUUGUGAUUGUCAUACUUUGCUUAGCGUAAAGGUUCAAAUUUAACUAAAGUAAGAUGUGCAUAAAGAAAAGAGAAAAGCCUGUUUCAGAUGUGAUUCCAACUUUAUAUAUUUGCUUUCAUAUUAAGCAAACAAUUAAGAUAUUGUUUACGUGAAGCUUUUGAUCCUUUCAAAGAAGUUUUCUGAACAUUAUUGAAUAAAUUAUGCUAUCCUAUUAAUUUCCUCACUUGACAAGGUUAUUUUCUUUUCUCAUUUUACAGUCAAAUUGUUGCUAGGGAGAAGGAAGAAAGGCAAGCACUGAGUGAUGCAUGAACAAAAGUUAUAAACUUCCUCAUGAUCUGUUGGUGGAGUUUUUAAUUAAUGUCGUUUCUCCUGUCUUCUACUGUUGUACGUUGUUUGUUAAUUACUAUACCACCUCCUCCUUGCUUUCUCUAUAAUCUCUACUCAUGGCUUUUAACUGUUCUGCUAUUAUAUGGUUUAAAGUAGUUAUUUAAGAGAAAUUAAAACCCACAAAUUCAGUAUUUGCUUUGUUGCUAAGUAAUAUGUACUUAGAGUAUUAAUAGUUUGUACUGAUUGAUGGAUGUGUAAAAAACGAUUGUUUGGAGCAACAUUUUCCACCUUUCUAUUUGAGGUCUUAGUUCAUAUAUAUGACUCUUGAUGUGUUAGUAUAUAUAUCCACGUGGUUCAUUUAACUCAUAAGACAUAGACAUGUAGUUUUGCUCUCUAUUUGGAACAAAACAAAGGCAAUUUCACCAUUAAACAUCUCAUUUUUUAAUUAUAUUUGGUGCCUCUGUCAGUGUAUAGUUUAUAUACUAUCAAUGAACAAAAUAUAUUGUUAUCUCAUUCAUAAAUAAAUUUAAAAAUUAAGAACUCUAAAAAAUAGAUACUUUAUUUUGAAGAAUUUUCACAUGUUUGUAAAGUACUGUUCUUUUGACACUGUAUAAAUUGAAAACAUGUCGAGUUAUUAAUGAAAAACUUAAUGAUGGUUUAGAUUUUAGAUUAAUUCACAUUCUCAGCACUCAACAAGGAUUUAUUUGAACUAAGUACGUAGUGGGAAGGCAUGCAAAGAUUGAUUUUUAAGUCCACAGGCUUUAACUUGGAAGUCGAAAUGCUUUCUUGUUGGAAGUAGUUAACAUGCGUGUAAUUAGUACUGGAUGAAGCUUGUUAACAGUUUUGCAAGAGUAAAGGAGAGUAAAAUGAGAAAUAGUUAUAUAAAUUGUCAGAAAAGUAACAAGCUAGGAAUAUAAAGUGAUAGCAGACAAGAAACUAAUCAAUUAAAAUUGAGAAAAAUGAUAGAAACAGUGGUUGCAGCGACAAAAUAACGUGAGUAGAUAGGGUGGUGAUGGCAUGACAGGCUUGCAGCGAAAAAAAAACCAACGAAAUAAUUGUGUGGGCUGUUGUUGCUUCCCUAGUGUACAAUGCAUUAGCAUUAUGAAUUGUGACUUUAAAGUCAAGACCUACAUUGAGGACGAAGAACACUUAUAUUUUUUAUCUGAGUUCGUUGAACAUUAAAUCAGACAAAUAAGGUGAUGAAUUUGUUAUUCGUCUAACUUGUUAUCCGUUCAAGAUCAAAUUUGCUGAACUUAUGAAAAUCAAGAAUGCAUUACAAAUGUUUGCAUUUUCUUGGAGAGUGGUCAUCGAGUCAGAUUCAAGUCUUUUUUUUUUUUUUUUGAAAGGCGAGUCAGAUUCAAGUUGCUAUCUCAUGAGUGAAAAACGCUUCGAUCAGACUAUGAAUUCAUUGGAGUAUCUUCAACGAUAUUGACAAUCUUUGGAGAUUUUUUGGGAGGUAGAACUCUAUCAGACUAUGAAUGCACUCGUGGUGUGAAUUGUGAGGCAAUGUUUUGUACUUGGCGGUUGUAAGAGAAGAUACAGUCGGUUGUUCUACUUCAUUUUGUGGUGUCAAGCUUCAUGUUGCAGAUUUUUCUAUUUUUCUUUAUAUAUGGGAAUGGUGCUCUUAAUGUCAACUAAACUUGAGUUUAUGUUGGAAUGUUUCCUUCUGGAAGGCUGCCAUUUUCUCUACGAUCCCCCUCUGUUCUGCUUUGCCAUAUUCUGAUGACUUUGUUCCGUCCUUGAUAAAAUUCUUUUUUCUUUCAAAAUAAAAAGGGUUUCUUUGAUGAAAAUCCUAUUACUCCUCUUGAGCACCUUAUUACCAUGCCUGUUUAAGGUCAAAGGAUCUGAUAAAAGAACCGUUAUAAAUCAGCAUUGCCUAGAGUUAUUGGUUAAUGAAUUCCUUUAUAUAUAAAAGGUAUUUAGGCAGAAAAGGACAUAAGUGGGUAAAGAUCGGUCGGGCUUGUGCAAUUUUUUGUUCCUUUUGUUCGAUGUCGCGCGAUCUUCCAACUUUCCCUCGCGAGCGCAUCACCCCUGCCUUGCUUGCUUGACUAUUUUCAAACUCGCAUUUUUUUAUAUCAUAUAGAAAUCAAAUUAUUGGAGCCCGAUGUUUCUUGCAUUUCAAAACUUACGAGAGAUACAAGAUCAAGAUAGAUUGAGAUUAAGGUGAGUAUCUGCAUCAAGAUGAGUUUUUCUUUUUUAUGGACGAAAGAGUCCGUACAACAAUGACAUUACACAACUAGAUAGAAGAAAGUGUCGCGAAUCUUCACAUCAUAAGCUCCAUAGAUCCUUACAGCAACUCACAGAGAAUUAACUAACAAGAAGAAGGAAGACAGUCCGCUACUUUAGAAACAGUUCUCCAUUCCAGCGAGAAACAGCUCUACAAAGCUGUAACAAUUUGAUCUAGGAAGGGCAUAGAAACAUUGGACUUGAGCCUAUGCCGGUAAGUAGGACAGGAAGAGUGAGAGAGCAGUCACUUAUCGCUGCAAGCAACAUGGAAGCUGGAAUUCAGUUUCACUGACAAAGGUUUUCAGCCAGCUAAUUCAGUUAUACAGACAGUGAUUGAUCAUAACAACAUCAAUUUCGUAAUGUAUCACAAUGAAGUUAGACUUCAGUUAUAUAUCUAAAUGUAUAUGAUAUGUAUUGAUAGUAAUAUUGUUUGUAAUUAUAACCGAGCAUGUGCACGAUGUGGGGGAGCACAUGUUGGUGAUGAUGGGUGCGGGAGUGUGGAUGAUGAUAUUGUGUGUGCGCGAUGUGGGGGAUGCACACGAUGACUCUUGCUAUGUGCGCGAUGUGGGGGUUGCAUAUGAGAUGGGUGAGGCGGUGGUGGUAUGCGUGUUUAUAUAUAUAUAUACUUAUGUAAUAGAAAGUUUAUGAAUAUGAUAUAUGGUUGUAAUGUAUGUGGAAUCCUGCAUGUUGAACCUUGAAAAUUACUAAGUAUUUUCAAGUUGAUUUUUUUUAUUGCAGCAAAAUGGCCUUUUCUUGAUGCGAUAGGAAGUUUCUUCUUGGUGAUUUGUUUUCCGCUGCAGCGAGAAUGAUUCUCGCUUCAGCGAGAAACUCUCGAGUUGUUAGUUCAAUUUUUGCCGUAAAGUCCGUUGCAGCGAAAAUGCCUUUCCACUGCAACGAGAUUUGUUUUGCUAUGCUUGCCUUGCUUGAACUCCAUUGCGCUCUCACUCUUUAACUUGUUUAUUGAUAAUGGAUUUUUCAAUACUAAGGCACUAAAUGAUCAAGAGUUGAAUUAAGGGGGUUUUUAAUAAGAAAUAAACUAAAUUGCAUUAUUUUUGAACUUAAAUGCAUCAUGAUUUCUAAACCUUUCUUAACGUUGCUUGUUCCCUUCUUAUAUUCACUCACUGAGUUUAUACUCACGUUUUCAACUUCAUGUUUUCAGAUUCAAGGGUGGUUGGGACGUAGAUUGAGGUGUCCACGUGCGUCCAUCUUUUGGUAGGUAUCCUGGCAUUCAGUAGUCAUAUUCCCCAUCCAGAGUCACUCUGUUGACAAUCAAGGUCUUUCUAUAUGCUUAAUUUGAAUUGUUAAGAUACAUUUGACAAGCUAUUUGUGUAUAUUUUGAAUUAUGAUGCCAAUGUGAGCAUUCACUUGGGUACUAUGAAUUGCGUUUGAAGAAAUUGACAUUGGAACACUAUUAAGCAUAGAUAUUAAAGAAAUAUGAUAGAUGGAUGGACUAAUGUACAAGUGCAUAUAGAAAGGCUUGCUUGGGCCUAGUGGGCUGUGCCUAUUGGGUCCUUGUGUCGGUCAUAACCCGAGAAUUGGGCUGUGACAUGUACCAUGCCAGCAUUUAGUUAAAAUUUGUUGCCAGUUAAUGAGCUUACAAAAUCUGAAAAAUAUAGUUUGACCUAGUAUGGUAUCUUGAGAGAUAUAGUUUGUCAUUCUCCUAGAAAAGGCAAUAGUAUAAAAAAAUCAAGUGUUCCUAUCCCUUUUAAAAACCACUUAACUCUUGAUUUUUGGUGCCAUUCCUUUUCUUGGUCUCCAUAUACCUUCCAAACAUACUCCUAACCAAAAACUCUUAACCACUUUUUUGUAUUUCUUUCGAUACAUCAACAACAAUAUGGCAUAUGUUGUUGAGUUGCUCCUUGAGUUGGGGAGUGGUCAACCCUCUAAUCAACUCAUAAACCAUGUCUUCUACUUUUCUGAGUAUUUUUUGUAAAAUCCGCCUUUGAUAAAACCCCAUCAAAAGUCACAAGUGGUUCAUCAAUGCUCAUAUCUGUAAGACUAUAAACCAUAAAAGGAACUCUUCCUUUAUUUAAGAUACAUAAAUCUUCCAAAUUCUGUUUGAAUGUGAGGAAUUGGUAGGAACGUUCACACUUCCUACUAAUUUUAACAUGUCUAGUAUCAUCUCAAAAAGAACUGCAAAUUGUUAUUCAACAUUAUAAAUGUGCCUUUUAAGAUCCUCAUCAUUAAUAGAAUUUAAAUGGAGAAUCUACCUGAAUAGAAGAACUUGAUUUUGUAAAUCCAUCAUUUGCUACUUUACUCGAUCAGGUAAAACUAUUGGAACCUCAAAAGUGGGGGCUCUGAUUUUGUAACCGUAUGGCUCAUUGGUUGGUGCAUGAUGCCUUAUCUAAAGAGUAAAGUUCGAAUCCCUUUUCCCCCAAUUAAAAAAAGAGUAAUCAUAUGGGACCUUAAAAGUUUGGGUUCUAAAUGUUGGUGCAAAUGUUGUUUAGUUGGAAUUCAAACAAACUGGUAAAAUUGACUUCAAGGUGUGCCUUUAAUAGACGUUAUUUUAAGGUUGCAAAGUUGUUUGAACUUAGAGAGUCUACUAUAAGGAACUUGGCCAUUCUUGGUAAAUGAUGAGAAUUCAAAGUGUUUAUAUUUAUUUUCUAAAUUUUGUUCAUAACAUAAUAUUUCUCUUACUCUUGAUUUUUUGUUAUUAUCUUGUUUGUUUGAUGUAUCAAAAUAAAUGGCUGACAACAAAACCUUUAAAUAGACUUUCAAGUGUCUCUUCUUUAAGGACACAACCGUUUCAUUAAAGUAUCUAUAUGUCUUAAAGAUACCCUUACAUGUUGUAAGACACAACUUAUCCAAAGUUAUUGUUCUAAUAAUUAAUUUAUGAAAAAACAACCAUUUAUUCCAUAAAACAUAACCUUUGAGUUAUAAUAUAAAAAGAUAAUUUUUUAUAUUCAAAUUUUUGAGUAGUGGUAUUUUUCAAUUGUCUCAUAACCUUUGCAUUUAGUGGUGCUUUUCCAAAUGUCACCUUAUCGAAAGACAUACUUUUCAUAUGAAAAAUAACCUACAAUCCAAUUCAAUUUAUGUGACUAUAAUAGUCACAACUUUCAUAUGAAAAAUUAUAACUUUUUAUUUACAAUUUUUCAUGUUUUCAUUUUGAAAAUACUCCAACACUAAAUUCAUGACUGUCAAGACAAAGUUGGAUUCUAAUAUCUUGCUCUUUUGUUUUAGUGGGUACGUUCUUUACAGUCUUUUCUUUUUUUACUGCAUGAAAACAUUGCAACAGGACAUUUAGUUUGCCAUUGAUCUCAACUCCUUUUUAACUCAAAAGUUCAAGAAAUUGCAUCAAAGGUUGAAAUUGAUAUUCUUGUUGUGCUCUCAUUGCUCUACAAACUUUUUGUUCCAACAGAGGAACUUCAACAUUUUGAGAACCACCGAUGUUGUUCAAUGGACAGAGAGCUUCUACAAAACUAUGCAACCUAUUCUUGACAAUUUCAUGCUCUUCCCUUUUCAUUUUAGCCAACCUAAUCACUUAUUGAACCCCCAAAAGUGGGGGCUAUAAAUUCAUCACUGUGAAGAAAAGUAAAAUCCCAAGGAAUCUUACUCUCCACUGAUGCAUUCGCCCCAUAAAGAAUGAGCAUACUACAAUUCUAUUGUGCUUUGAUUUGUUCUCGUUCUUUGUUUGCAGUUUUUUUUCUUGCUGCAAGUCACUUAGUUUGUCAUGGAUGUCAGAAUCUUCUUUUAUCAACCGAUCAAGAAAUUGCAUUAGAUGAUGAAAUGGAUAUUCUUGUUGCACACCAAUGGCUCUGCAAACGUGAAGUUCGACAUUUUGAGUAUCACCAAUGUUGUUCGGUGGAAAGAGGGAUUCCACAAAACAGCGCAAUCUUUUCUGGAUAACUUAGUGCCCUUCUAUCUUCAUUGUAGCUAAUCUAAGCAACCAACGAACUUCUUCUUGAUGGCAUUCUUGAAUUAUUUGGGUAAUCUUUUCAUCAAUUUGUGAGAUUGACGAGAACUUCCUUCGAACUUCGUUAAUCAUGUCGUCGUUGACAGCCUUGGUAGCCAUGGAUGAUGAGAGGGUGAUUGGGAGGGUGUUUUGUUCUUGGAGAAAAAAAAGAAAGGGAGAGAAAAAGUGGUUUGGCGUUCAAAAAAGAGUCUUAUAGUUAGUUAAUUUAGUUAUAUAGGUGACUGAUACAAAAAAAAAAAAAGGCCUUGAGCCAUGAUUAUGAAUUUCAAGUCCAACGGCUAAACUUAAGUUAUCUAUGAUGAUCUUUGAAAGAUCAUGAAGAAAAAUACAAGUACUAAAGCUGCUUUAAUAAUUAAGCUCGAUAUUAAAAUGUAAUGUUGGGAAGACAAUAGCAUUCUAAGUAUGCGGGCAAACUCCCAACAAGCAUGUGAUUCUUAAUGAAUUAAUGACAACCAAUGAGAAUGGUGGAAUGGAUGAGGUUUUUGCAAGUGAUGAAGUAGAGUGACAUGUUGACAAAUGUCUUGCUCUCGCCAAAAGCUAAUGCUUUGUAAAUAAUGGCAGUCAGGGUAGUGAUACUUUUUCCACUUAAAAAUCUCACUCUAUAUCACCUUCUGCCAUUUAUUUCUGAAAUUGAAACGUGAAAAUCACGUCGUUGUGGUAAUUAGAUCAACAUCAAUACUUCUUUUUUUAUUAUUAUUAUCUUGUCCAAUUAUUAUGAAUUGAGCUUUUUGUUAUUUUCCUUUAAACAUUUUAGUUAACGACAACAAAUUAGAAAGAUCCAUUUAGGAUCAAAUAUCAUCUCACCUUUGACAGAAAAAAUUUAAAAAAAUCCAUCUGGAAAGAUUAAAAGAUAGGGUUGUUGGGAUGAACCCUGUAGCCAAUUGAGAUUGGUUAAGGCUUGAUUCCAAUCAUGCAACAACAUAAUUCAUGUUGAAUGAUUAAAUGUUUUCCUUCAUCAAUAAGACAUCAAUUAUAACAAGUUAUAAGUCUAAUUGGAUGAAGUCCAGGAAAUUAAUAUGCCUUGCAAGGGAACUGUAAUGGGUUGCAGUUAUGAGAACCUUGUGCAUCAAAGCGUAAUCUCAAAAUGUUCUUGGUUAAUGUAUCAUUGAGACUGGACAUCAAUGAUACUUAGAGACUGGUACAUUCUAUGUUCCUUACUUGAAAAGUAAGCAAUUGAUCUCAUAGGUUGAAGUAUAGAGAUACUUAAAACUAGAAUGUAGAUACUUGCCUAGGAGAGCAAGUUCAUUGAACAUGACCCGCCAUGAGAAGUGCAUUUGAUAUUUCACUCAAGUGUCUAUGCAAUACUUCUCAUGUGUUAAUUGUGUAAAUACUCUCUAGACUUGAGACACCAGGUUGUUUUAUGUGUGGAGUGAUAUGCUUUGAUUUCAUCCCUAUGGGUACCUAACCAGGGAUGCCUAAACAUGAUGCUUUUGGGUAUAGCAUGAAGCACGUGAAGGCAAAUGAGUAGUCAAGAUAGGAAUCAUCACUCCAAGUGAUAUAGGGGACAUAUCCUAACUGUUCUUGGUUGAUAUCAGCUUAUUGAAGUCUUUGGCCAUGGCGACUUAAAGAUUGUGAAAGGAGUUUCAUAAGUUUUUAUAAAGUUGAUGAUCAAACUUUAAGAACGAAUAUGGAGAUCAAUAAGAGUAGACACUGCACCAUGUUCUUAUCAUUUCUAGGAUAUAUGGUGAGGAAAUGAAUUACAUUGAAAGGCUGAUCACUGAAAGGUUGAGUCAAAUCAUCUUGACUCUUCUAACAUUUGGCUGGCCAUGUUGGAUUGCUAGAUCCCAAUCUUGGUCUAUGAACUCUAGAUAGUUAACUUGAUUAAUGAUAAAUUUAAAGUAGUUUAAAUUUAUCUAAUUCUAAGUUUAAGUUAAGAAUUAUAUGUUAUUACCAACAUGUUAGAAGUCUAAUGGGUCACACACCUAAAAUGAAUGUUGAAAAUAAAAUGGGAGAGGUGAUUAAGUUGGACUUAAUCAAAUUAGAAGUUAUGAGCUUCUCAAACACUUGAUUAAAAUUGUUUAAUUAAGUUGUGCCUAAUUAACUAAAUUAUUUAAUUAAAUCAUUGGACCUAAUUAAUUAAAUUAUUUAAUUAAGUCAUUAGGUCUAAUUAAUUAAAUUAAACAAUUAAGUUAUUGGGUCUAAUUGAUUAAAUUUGUUUAAUUAAGUCAUUGGGCCUAGUUGAUUAAAAUUGUUUAAUUAAAUUGUUGGGCUUAAUUAAUUAAAUUAUUUAAUUAAGUUAUUGAGCCUAAUUGAUUAAAUUAAACAAUUAAGUUAAUUGGGCUUAUAAAGGACUUAAUUACAUUGUUUAUUCAAAUUAUUGGAUUAAUUGAUAAUUACAAAAUAGUUUUGUAAUUAGGGUUUAAAAUUAAUUCAAGGUAUAAAUACCUUGUUAUAGCCUCCAAACAAAAAGAGUGGAAACGGCUGAAAAAAAAAAAGAGUGAACGGCACAUUAGAAAUUCUUUUGUCUUGCCGUUCAUUGUGUGAAGAAAAAUAGUUUUUCAUUCACUUUAUUUUUUUUGUGUGUUCAGCCCCAUAAUUUUGUGUGGAUUGAGUUUAUGAAACUCAUCUUUACUAGCACAUUGUCAAGACAUAGCACUCUCAAUCCUUAAAGAGUGAUUUUCUCAUUCAUUGGUGUGGAUCACUAUUAGAUGCUGCACAAGGAUUCCUUGGACAGCUUUAUUUUGCAACAACCGGAGCUGAGGUGGUUGAGCUUUUUGAAGGCUGAUUUGGUGAUUUAAUAAAAGAUUUAUCAAUCUUUGUUAUUUAGAUAAAGUGAUAUGAUCAUAUAUUUUUAUUUUAAUUUAAUUAUGUACUGAAUUUGACAUGAAAGAGAUCUUAGGAAGGUGAGAUGUAAAUUUAAUUUUUAAAUUUAUUUCCGUUACGUUUUAUUUGUAUAUGAUGCAUGAUCAACCCUCACCCAACAAGGUACACUUCAAAUUAAACCUUGUGAUAUAUCUCUCUAGCUCGAGGAAACGACAUCGAAUAGGUUACAUCAAUGGGCUUCGUCUAUGGAAAAACAUGACCUUCUUUACUUAAUAGCUCAUUGUAAUAUAUUUAAUAUUAACAUUAUUUUUUAACGUGUACCAUUUGAUUUUCCUUUUAUUGAAUGGCAAAGUAUUUGUAUUCAUUUGAACAAAGGGUACAAAGACGUGCUGGUUCAAGUCUUUGGUCUAUUCUCAAUGAUAGAAGACUUGUUUGAGCAGUCCAGCUCGCCUGCUAACACUUUCCACAAAGAUUUCUAUCUACCGCCAACAAUUAACACAAAAACUUCUCUACAGUUUCCCACGCUCCUACCCAAAAAAAUUCUUUAGACAAAAUUUGAAAAAAAAAAAUUUAUAGUACUAUAGCAUUCUUUCUUUCAUUUUUUUAAUUUUUUCCCGAAUUAAACAUUUUUUCCUCUUUUUUGUCUUUUCCAUUCAAAUUGGGAGGAAAUUCUUGUAGAGGCUUGAUCAUGCAAAGCAAAGGAAAAAGAAAGGUACCCAAGAAACUGAGUAAGGUUGGCAGCGGUAGCAAAGUCGCUCUCUUCCCUUGCCUUCAAUAUUUUGAUGAACAUGAGAACUAAGAAUCUUCAUUGAGUUGUCUUUGUCUAGCUUACUGUGCUUGAUGAUAACGAUGUCAAGUUUCAAGGUCCUUUCCAAUAAUCCAUGUGAGUUUAUGCCUUUAUAUUUAAGCUUUUGUUAUAUGCAAAAUACGAUGACAAAGAAACAUUAUUAAAUAAACUUAUUUGUAACGUGUUCAUUAGAAAGCUCUUUUUGCCCGUGGCUGCACAGUUGAUUACGGUAUCCUUUAAUUUCCUCACUUGACAAGGUAUUUUCCUUUCUCAUUUUGCAGUCAAAUUGUUGCUAGGGAGAAGGAAGAAAGGCAAGCACUGAGUGGUGCAUGAACAAAAGUUAUAAACUUCCUCAUGAUCUGCUGGUAGAGAUUUUAAUUAAUGAGCAAAAGUUAUUCAUUAUUCAUUAUUUACAUCCAAAUAUUUGUUCAUUAUUCAUUAAUCUGGUAGAGAUGUAAAUAUUUGUUCAUGAAUGGAUAGUACAUAUUAUUCAUUAUUUUGAAUAAUGAACAAAAGUUAAUUAUUAUACCAUCCAACUUGCUAUCCGUUCGAUAUUCAAAUUUUGCUGAACUUAUUGAGAUAAAAAGCGUACUACAAAGUAUUUACAUCUUCUUCACGGGUGAGCUUGACGAAGUUAAUCAUCAAGUCGGAUUCCACAAGUUGCUAUCUCAUUGGUGAAAAACGCUUCGAUGAGAUUAUGAACUUACUGUUUUGCCAUAUCUUCUGUGAUGGUGGCUCUCUUUCUUUCCAGAACUGAUUUGUACAGUUUCUGGAGUGCAUUAGUUCACUUGAUACUUAAUGAAUUUUAGCUUUGCUUUUACUUAAUGUGGGAUGUAUUCCAGCUCGGAGUUAAAACGAGAAGCUAAGAGAUCAAUCCAAUAUCUAUGGAAUUCAUGAAUCGGCUUACCAAGGCGGGUGGAUAACCUGGAGCUACGUACGUACUAGAUGAUCGGCGAACCAGCUGCUUGCUGUUGCAGACAGACUAACUAAUCCUGGGUUUCUCCUAAUUAAGGAUUUCAUACGAAUAUAUAUUGAAAUGUUUCCUUUUGGAAGGCUGCCAUUUUCUCUAUGUUCUUUCUGCUUUGCCAUCUUGUUCAAUCCUUGUUACAUUCUUGAUAAAAUUCCUUUUCCUUUCAAAAUAAAUAAGGUUACUUUGAUGAUAAAAUUCCUUUUCCUGUUACUCCUCUUGAGAACCUUAUUUCCUUGCCUGUUUAAAGUCAAAGUCUGAUAAAACAGCAGUUGCAAAUCAUCAUUGGCUUAUUCCUCUCAGUCGGUUUCUGUACGCAAUUGCAGCCGCCGCAUUAAAAAAAUCUAUUCGUUUUUUUUGUAGACUUUAACACUGUAUUGAAAUGAAAGCGACGAGCAUUCAAGAUUCAAUAAUUAGUUUAUUGAAGACCAAAAACCCGCAAGCAAGCACAAGGGCUUUUCCAGGAAAAGAGAGGAAACUCCAAAACAGAACUCAUCUGGCUGUGUAGAAGGAGAUAGCGACAGAGUCAAAGAAAUCGUUGGAGCCAUCACCAUCCGAGCAUUGAUGCCCGAUGGUUCAGGUCGGUAAGCUUCAGAUGAUUGAGCGAGAGAGAGAGAGAGAGAUGGGUUUGAACCUGUUAAUUUUAACAUGCACGAGAAUCCCCAUGGCUGAAGCUUCUUCUUAACGUUCGAUAGAUAGAGAAGAUUAGCUCGCGCGACAUUUUCCCUGAUUAUUCAAUGAAUAAUGUCACAGUCAGAAAUUACCUAAAGUUUUAUGAUUAUAUUUUUAAAUCAAAUAAAAAUAAAUAUUAAAAUUUAAAAUUUAUAGAAAAGGAAUUUAGGUGGAAAAGGCCAUCAGUCGGUAUAAGAUUGGUCGGGCUCAUGCGAUUUUUUAUUCCGUUUUGUUCGACGUCGCGCGAUCUUCCUACUUUCCCUCUGGUAUAAUCUAGUGCGUGGCGAGCACAUCAUCCCUGCUGUGCCCUGCUUGACUGUUUUAAAACUCGCAGUUUUUGGUAUCAUUUAGAUAUCAGUAUAGUGGGGCCCCACCCAACGAUGAUGUCACAUAGCUGGAUGGUAGGAAGAACCCUGUCCUUUUCUUGUAAUUACAUGGUUGCUCCAUUAAAACGUGCAUGGUGGCUCACCAUUUGGCCCUAAAAAGUUUCGACUGAUAGAUUUAGUGACAACAUUUCCUCACAAACAGUCAAAACAGUCGAGUUAAUUCAUACAGAUUUCACAACAUCAAACCUAUUGAAUAUUAGACGUCAGGCUUAACUUUGAUAGUCUUCUGCGUAAUUUAAAAUUUUUAAUAGCAUUUGAGUAUUUAAUUUAUUAAUAAAUGCAUAAUUUUACUGUCUAAAUAAUAGGGUUUGAAUUUUUUUUAAUUAAAAAAAAUUAAAUUUUCAAUAUAUAAUCAUAUUUAUUUAUUAAGAUAAAAAAAAGAUAAUGACCCUACGUCUUGUCUCCAUUUAUCAUUAUCCAAAGCGAUUCGAAUAACGUAAUUCUUUUGAGCCAUCAAUGGCUUCACAAGUUCUUGACGAAUAAAACAAAAUUAAAACCACACUGGCAAAAACUGUAAGGCUUUCCUUCAUGCAUGUACUCCAGAGAAAACCAACUCUUUUGCAGACAGACUAACUAAAGCUGAGGUUCUCUGAAUUAAGGAUUUCAUUGCCAUUAUAUAAUACAAAUAUGUUGUAAUGUUUCCUUUUGGAAAAGCUGCCUGUUCUGAUGAACUUGUUCAAUCCUGUUACUGCCUCUUGACCACCUUAUUUCUAGGCCUGUUAAAGGUCAAAUUAAAGUUUGAUAAAAACAGUUAUAAAUCAGUAUUAACUUUCCCUCAUUCGGGGACAGAGAUCAGUUUUCGUAGGCAAUUGCAAAAGAUUUAAGUUGGCAUACGAUAUCGGCGUGUGCAGAGGGAACAAUCACCACAAACAGGGGAUAUGCUUCAUAGUGUUCUUUGCAAUUCCCCUUCCUAGCCUGAGCAACAAGCAAAAGAGAGCUCUCUACCCUAAUCCUAAAGACCCCUACUGGACAGAGAGAACAAAGGGAUAAAAGAAAAAGAAGGCAUUUUUUUAUGAAAGGCAAGAACGCAUUUAGAGGUAAAUUAAUUCUUUUGGCUUUUGCAGUAAUUGAUAUAGAUACUGUUGGCACUUUUAGAAUGUGCCAUAACGUAGUUAAGUAUCUAAAGAAAGGGGGACCUGGGAAGGACCCAUCCACUGGGGGAGCAAUAAUAAACAUGAGGGCGGUUUGCAUUAUGGAGGCACAUGGUACCAAAUUAAUGCGUCUGCCGCCAAGGUUAGUAAAUUUGCUGUCAAGUUUGUUAAAUCUUUACGUUAAUUUCUUUUGAAUGGGAUUCAGUUUCCGUAUGCUUAGUUUCCACCAGGCAGCUGUUGAUAGCAUUACCAGAAACUUGGCGUUGGAGUGGGGGACAGAUCAUGACAUUCGAGUCAAUGGGAUUGCACCAGGGGCUAUCGAUGACACUGCCGUUGUCACUAAACUUGCACCUGAGGAGAUGCUGAGCAAGAUUAAAGAGAAACCAUUGUACAAAUUUGGGGAGAAAUGAGAUGUUGCUAUGGCUGCUCUCUAUCUUGCAUCUGAUGCAGGUUUGUAGUUGUGUCUGGUUAUUUAGUUACAUGACCAUCAUUCAACUACACCAGGUUAGCAUUCCUGUAUCUUCACGUGUUUACUUGAACUUUUUCCUUAUGCAAUCUUAUGAGACCUUAAAAUACUUUAGUCUCUUCCUGUCUAAACUCUUUUAGACCUAUGAGCUUAACAAAAGCAGCAUUUGGCUAGCAAUUAAUUUUUAUAGGGAAAAGCAGGUUUUCAUUGUAUGCUGGAAGUCGGUUUGUGAACAUCGCCAAUAUGUGUAUUAUUUGCUAAUACUGUAUUGGUGGCACUGAUGAGAUAAACCCAAUUUUGGAGCUUCUGGGAUCUGAAUUCCAAUGUCAUUUGCAGUGAUACUCGAUGCCUUAGGAAGACCUGGCUCAAGAUCUUGUAUCCGGUCAUUGAAUGAUCUUGAUUUCUUGAUAGAUAGUUUAUGAAGUCUGACUCUAUGGGGAACAUUCUAAUCUGAGUUAAUUGCGAUCCAUCCCGGUGUUACUCUUCCAUUUCCUCCAUUCCCUCAAUUUGUGGUUUAAGCUUAAAUUACACGGGAAACCUCAUCCUGAAAUAACCUCACAUAUGAUGGUAGCCUAGUUGCUUAACUAAUUAUUGGUAUGUACAUUGCUUGUGAGUGGAUUUGGUAGGAGAUGCUACGCGGGAAAAAUUAGUGGAGGAAGAAUGUUAUUCUAUGCUUGGUCUCUCUUGCUACUGAUAAUAUCAUAAUCACUGGAUAAUGUUGAUGUUAAUAAGUGCACCAUGCUUACUUGACGAAUUUUUGGUGAAAGUCAGAUAGGCUAGUUAAGAAAAGUUUGACCACCUUCUGCCUUAUGUUACUGUUUUGGUUUGAAUUUUUUGGGCAAAUAUGUUGUGCAAAACAGUAAACUUCUCUGGUGAUUUAUUUUCCCGUCCUUGUGCAAUAAGCUGUCAACCUUUACCAUGUGAAGACAAUUCAUAACCUUUGAAAUAUUAACAAACUCUUCAUUUUCUGCAUCAACA